rnacentral:rRNA from 1 species
CGCCUUGCCAGCCCGCUCAGAAACUUAAAUGAAUUGACGGGGGCCCGCACAAGCGGCGGAGCAUGUGGAUUAAUUCGAUGCAACGCGAAGAACCUUACCUGGGUUUGACAUACACCGGAAAACCGUAGAGAUACGGUCCCCCUUGUGGUCGGUGUACAGGUGGUGCAUGGCUGUCGUCAGCUCGUGUCGUGAGAUGUUGGGUUAAGUCCCGCAACGAGCGCAACCCUUGUCUUAUGUUGCCAGCACGUAAUGGUGGGGACUCGUAAGAGACUGCCGGGGUCAACUCGGAGGAAGGUGGGGACGACGUCAAGUCAUCAUGCCCCUUAUGUCCAGGGCUUCACACAUGCUACAAUGGCCAGUACAGAGGGCUGCGAGACCGUGAGGUGGAGCGAAUCCCUUAAAGCUGGUCUCAGUUCGGAUCGGGGUCUGCAACUCGACCCCGUGAAGUCGGAGUCGCUAGUAAUCGCAGAUCAGCAACGCUGCGGUGAAUACGUUCCCGGGCCUU